rnacentral:rRNA from 1 species
GAUGAACGCUGGCGGCGUGCCUAAUACAUGCAAGUCGAGCGAACAGACGAGGAGCUUGCUCCUCUGACGUUAGCGGCGGACGGGUGAGUAACACGUGGAUAACCUACCUAUAAGACUGGGAUAACUUCGGGAAACCGGAGCUAAUACCGGAUGAUAUAUUGAACCGCAUGGUUCAAUAGUGAAAGACGGUUUUGCUGUCACUUAUAGAUGGAUCCGCGCUGCAUUAGCUAGUUGGUAAGGUAACGGCUUACCAAGGCAACGAUGCGUAGCCGACCUGAGAGGGUGAUCGGCCACACUGGAACUGAGACACGGUCCAGACUCCUACGGGAGGCAGCAGUAGGGAAUCUUCCGCAAUGGGCGAAAGCCUGACGGAGCAACGCCGCGUGAGUGAUGAAGGUCUUCGGAUCGUAAAACUCUGUUAUUGGGGAAGAACAGAUGUGUAAGUAACUGUGCACGUCUUGACGGUACCUAAUCAGAAAGCCACGGCUAACUACGUG